GUCCACACCGUAAACGAUGAUUACUAGGUGUUGGGAGAUUGACCCUCUCAGUGCCGCAGUUAACACAAUAAGUAAUCCACCUGGGGAGUACGACCGCAAGGUUGAAACUCAAAGGAAUUGACGGGGGGCCCGCACAAGCAGUGGAGUAUGUGGUUUAAUUCGACGCAACGCGAAGAACCUUACCAAGUCUUGACAUCCCUUGACGAUGCUGGAAACAGUAUUUCUCUUCGGAGCAAGGAGACAGGUGGUGCAUGGUUGUCGU
rnacentral:rRNA from 1 species